UACGAACUGUGCAAACGUUAUUCGGAAUCACUGGGCUUACAGGGUGCGUAGGCGGCCAGACAAGUAGGGUGUGAAAGCCCCCCGGCUUAACUGGGGAAUGGCGCCCUAAACUGUAUGGCUGGAGUGAGAUAGGGGUGUGCGGAACUUCCGGUGGAGCGGUGAAAUGUGUUGAUAUCGGAAGGAACGCCGGUGGCGAAAGCGGCACACUGGAUCUCAACUGACGCUGAGGCACGAAAGCCAGGGAGCGAACGGGA
rnacentral:rRNA from 1 species